UUCCAGUUGUAAUGGGAAGUCAGAAUUUUCAAGCUCUGAGUCGGAAAUUCAUCAAUCAGAUUCCCGACUUGGAAAAUCGGACAAUCCUCACCAACCCUAACUUGACGACAACGUCACAAUUCAAGAUGGCAGUGCAGUGCAUCAACAGUAGAGAGUAACAGUGAAAGCUCUCGUAAUGUAUUAACUAUUAGCACUUCUGUUUUGUUUUUGUGAAAUUAAAUUAAUGGUAUAUGUUGUACUGCCCAACGUCUAACCUCCAACUUCCACCGCAUCUUGAAUGGCUAUGAAAAGGCCGUAUUCGCCGAUCGUAGCUGAUCGUAACCAUUCAAGUCAAUGUGUCAAUUUCCACCGGCUUCUUUCCGUUCGGCUGCGGAUCGCCGGACUCAGCUGCUGAUCGCAAGAGUUGUAUUUUUUCCAGAUGCCGGAGCAUGCCAGAUAAAUUCAGCACAGGCUAACCUGUGCUGGAAAAGAAGUCGGGCACAGACACAAAAUAAAACAUCUGGCUUCUUUUCAAAAUAAAACACUCCGUGUUUCAGGUGGAUCACCUUUCACAAUAUGCAAACAGGCGGGGACAAACAAGUGAAAGGUUUAUAGACAGCAUUUCACCCCGAUUACACCAUGGAUGAGAGGAUGCUGAUUUUAUAAGUCUGGAAUUAGAUUUCCUCUUCUGGAAGGACCCAAUCUACUGCUUAUAUGGUUAGCCUGUGUGACUAAAGACAACUUGUUAUCGCGCGGUUGCACAUGAAUUCAAGGGUUCUUUCCAUAAUCUGCCACCAAAUUUGCCUCACAAACGGAUCCAGUAGGAACUUGCAUACGGCGAAAAUCGCCACUGUUACGGAUCAGAGCCGUUACGGAUGCGGUGGAAAUCCCGGAUAACUGUGCUACGUUGUGCUAUAGUGUUUGUAAGGGCUGUGCUAUGCAUUGUUUACAACUUGUAUAGCUAACAACAAUUAACAACAGCUGACAAUCGCUAACAACAACUGACAACGGGAAACGACAGCUGAAAAUUGUAAACAACAGCUAACAACGGGUAACUGUAGGCGUCAGUCUUGGUUUUCCGACUUGUUAACUGCAACGCCAUCUACUCCGGUGUAACGUCAUUCCCAGCUCCGACAUCCAACUUCCGAGGUAACUGGAAUGCAGCAUUUUAAGUGACACCAGUAUAUAACCUCUAUUGGAUAUCCUAUUAAGCUAAGAAGUGCUUAAAUGAUUAUCCUGUGUGUAGUAAUAUAAACGUUGCCCAAACUUCUGAGAAACGGCCUCUAAGAUCAGUCUCAGCCAAUGAAGAUCUCAAAAGACUAAAGUUUCCUCAGGCCUCUGUCAAACACUCCAGAGAGCAUAACUAAGAGCUACACCUGUUAUUUAAGGACUGUUUUCAGGACACUCAGCAACAACAGUUGGGGAAUUAUGUGUCUGAUUCUUGUAUCGGAUGAGUGGGUGCCUGUUUUGAUUUAUAGAGAGUGGAAGCAAGCCAGGAGCCUGUCGCACCACCUGCUCUGAAGUUCACAUUUUGUCCAAGUUAUUCUGGAUUUUAUGGAGUGGAAUUUUACUUAACACUGCAGUAAAAUGGUCAGCACCAACCACAGAAGUUCACAUUCAGGUAUAAGUAAAGAAGUAAGAUCCCCUUUUCUGUCCCUGACUUUGUAAUCGACUCUGGUUGCCAACAGGUUAGUGUCGGCGGAUACAUUCACUGUUAAUGAUCCGCACUGAGCAUGGCAUUGGCAGAUGGAUGAAAACAGUUAAAGAGGAUUAAAGGUCGGCUCGGGGGAAGUGGUCCUCCAGGUAUGUCUCUGGAUGGGGCUGAGAGAAGCACAUGAAGUGCUGUAACAAUCAUCCUUCUCCUCUGCAGCCCGUGUAAGGAGGAGUUGUUGAUUUCUUUGAUUUGACAAUUAAUUUAGAUGCAUCUUUGACUUAAACAAUCAAAGGAUGAUCGGAAGAAAAAAUCAAGAUCCAAAGGGAGCUUCAGAAAGGGCACAUAAAGUUCACAAUUUGGAGAAUUGAGAAAAAAGAAAAGAAACGAAUUAAGAUAAAAAGCAGUGCUCCUGUAACAAGUGUUGAGGGCAUGGCCUCACAAACUGAGCAGAUGGAUGGCUGGGAUGGAAAUGAUACUGUCUCUGACCUGACAAGCCGAAGCAGCCUGUGUAGCCCAUGAUUGUUUUUCCAAUUUGACCUGUGUGAAUCCACACGGAUAAUCACUGACUCCAGGAUCAAGGAUUUAGCCCUCGGGGGGGUUCCAGCAGUUAUAAUGCCCACGGCGGUCUCAAGACAAUGCAGUAGAGCUCACCUCAGCUUAGAUUGGACCAGCUGGGGCUCAGAGAGAAAGAAAAAGAGAAGAAAGAGGCAGUGUUACAAACGGAAACUGUACUUAGUUAUCCUUUAUAAAACAUAACCUGACAAGAGAACCCCUUUUAAAGAGUUCGUUUUAAGGGGAGAAAAAAAAAACUUAAAACCAUCAUUAACUACAGCAACAGAGAGGAUAAGUCAAUAUUUCUGAGUUUAGGUAGAUUAUUAAUAACAUCCGCCAGCUUUAAACCAUGAAGAGGAGUGAUUCCUGGUUUGAUAUAAUCAAAAAUCAAAGCUUAAAAGCAGCUCCUUUAAUAUUUUACUAAACAGCAUAUUUUCAAGUAACAUGCACUUGCAGAUUUUUUAACUCGCCAAACACUCUUUAAUGUUUUAUGGUUGCCUGGUUUCAUUACUUAUUUAAUGUUAACACUCAUGUUUUGACUCAUCCACGAAGGCCCAGAUUACAAAAAUGGAAACAACAUUUCAGUCAACAAGAGAUGCAUUUUACCAAUAUCAGAGCACAGGAUUAUUUUUUCAAACAUACAAGUGCAUAAACAUUAGAUGACAGUUUAGGGUCGGGGUGUCAUUAGAAAUUUUUUACUUCGUUUGUGAUCAAAAAAUAAAAUUACCAGAAAAGGGAAUACCAUUUUUUUUUAAUCAUGUCUUAUUUAGGGCAGAUCAUCAAAGUGUGGUUAGAGUGAAAGCAGAAGUGACAGGUUUGAAUUUUCAAAAUAGAAGCUUAAAGGAUCGUUUAAUUACUGUAUGUUAACACAGACAGUAGCAAGUGUUGAGUGUAGAAUCUACAUAAGGCCUUUUUUGUUUCUAACAAACAUUUUAAAACAUUUGUCAAUAAUUUAUUUUUCUCUGUUUUUUUGAUAAAUAUCUUUUUAUCAGAGUAAAAUGGCAUGAUCAGAGUGGUACCCCACCACACCAGUUGUGAGUCCUAUGUAUCACAGAGGGGUGCCAAUUCGAUACAGACCACCCACAGUUUUUUUGCUGGCUAUGAAGCAGACCUAAAGUGACACAGAUGCCUCUGCAGUAUCAGCA